rnacentral:rRNA from 1 species
AUAGCCCAGCACUGAAUCCCGUCGUUGUCACGGCGGCGGGAGAUGUGGUGUUCGGGAGGUUCCGCUUUCUCGUCGUUGUCUUCUCCUGUCCAAGUUCGUCUUGAACGGGGCCGUUUUCCCGUAGAGGGUGCCAGGCCCGUAGCGACGGAGGACGGCGGCGAGAGGGACUCUCCUCAGAGUCGGGUUGCUUGAGAGUGCAGCCCUAAGAGGGUGGUAAACUCCAUCUAAGGCUAAAUAUUACCGCGAGACCGAUAGCGAACA